rnacentral:tRNA from 1 species
GGGAGUGGAUGAGGUCCGGUGGUCUCUGCGGUCUUCAAAACCGUUGGGGGGAUAUUACGUAUUCCUCGGUGGGUUCGACUCCCAUGCACUCCCGCCA